rnacentral:rRNA from 1 species
UACGGAGGGUGCAAGCGUUGCUCGGAAUUAUUGGGCGUAAAGGGUAGGUAGGUGGUCUCAUUUGUCUGGGGUGAAAUCCUUGGGCUUAACUCAAGAAGUGCCCCAGAAACGGUGAGACUAGAGUCCUGGAGAGGGUCGUGGAAUUCCCGGUGUAGCGGUGAAAUGCGUAGAGAUCGGGAGGAACACCAGAGGCGAAAGCGGCGACCUGGACAGGCACUGACACUCAACUACGAAAGCGUGGGGAGCAAACAGG